GUGGGGAAUAUUGGACAAUGGGGGCAACCCUGAUCCAGCCAUGCCGCGUGAGUGAUGAAGGCCUUCGGGUUGUAAAGCUCUUUUAGCGGGGACGAUGAUGACGGUACCCGCAGAAUAAGCCCCGGCUAACUUCGUGCCAGCAGCCGCGGUAAGACGAAGGGGGCUAGCGUUGCUCGGAAUUACUGGGCGUAAAGCGCGUGUAGGCGGCUGUUCAAGUUGGGCGUGAAAGCCUUGGGCUUAACCCAAGAAAUGCGCUCAAUACUGGAUAGCUAGAGGACCGGAGAGGAUAGUGGAAUUCCCAGUGUAGUGGUGAAAUACGUAGAGAUUGGGAAGAACACCAGUGGCGAAGGCGGCUAUCUGGACGGUUUCUGACGCUAAGACGCGAAAGCGUGGGGAGCAAACAGGAUUAGAUACCCCGGUAGUCC
rnacentral:rRNA from 1 species